GACAGAGGUCCCGAGCGUUAGGCGGAAUCACUGGGCUUAAAGCGUGUGUAGGCGGAUCGUUAAGUACCUUGUGAAAUCCCACGGCUUAACCGUGGAACGGCUUGGUAUACUGGCGGUCUUGAGCCACUUAGGGGCUACCGGAACAAAUGGUGGAGCGGUGAAAUGCGUAGAUAUCAUUUGGAACGCCAAUGGUGAAAACAGGUAGCUGGGAGUGUGCUGACGCUGAGACACGAAAGCCAGAGGAGCAAACGGG
rnacentral:rRNA from 1 species